AAAGAAAUUCCAGCUAUUCCAUCUGUCGAUUAACAAAGCACAAGUCCAAUCAGAGUGAUUCAAAACUCUUAACUUGUAAGACAGAUUCAAAGUUUCAAACUUUACAACAGAACAGAGACAAAACCCCAUAAAAAUUGUUCCUUUACAUGUAAGGAGAAACAAGCCACGAAAAUCAAAAUCCAAAGAGCUAAUUCCUUGAACCUACCCCAUUUGUGGAGUUCGAGCAAGG